rnacentral:rRNA from 1 species
GUGGCGAACGGGUGAGUAACGCGUAGACAACCUACCUUCUAGCUGGGGACAACACUGCGAAAGUGGUGCUAAUACCGAAUGUUGUAUUUUGAAUGCAUACUUGAAAUACUAAAGGUGGCCUCUAUUUAUAAGCUAUCACUAGAAGAUGGGUCUGCGUCUGAUUAGCUAGUUGGUGAGGUAACGGCUCACCAAGGCGACGAUCAGUAGCCGGUCUGAGAGGAUGAACGGCCACACUGGGACUGAGACACGGCCCAGACUCCUACGGGAGGCAGCAGUGGGGAAUCUUCCGCAAUGGACGAAAGUCUGACGGAGCAACGCCGCGUGAGUGAAGAAGGUUUUCGGAUCGUAAAACUCUGUUUUCAGGGACGAAUGUGUGGAUUGUAAAUAAUGAUCCAUAAUGACGGUACCUGACAAGAAAGCCACGGCUAACUACGUGCCAGCAGCCGCGGUAAUACGUAGGUGGCAAGCGUUGUCCGGAAUUAUUGGGCGUAAAGCGCGCGCAGGUGGGAUAAUCAGUCUGAUGUUAAAGUUCGGGGCUUAACCCCGUGAAGCAUUGGAUACUGUUAUUCUUGAGUGCAGGAGAGGAAAGUGGAAUUCCUAGUGUAGCGGUGAAAUGCGUAGAUAUU